UAGGGCCUGUUUUAGUUCCUCCAUAUGAAAACUGGUAUCCUCGUUAGAAUUAAGAUUAUAUUUGCUAGGUUCAGAUUGCUGUUUGUUAGUUUUUUGCCUUUUUGAAAUGUUCUCCUUUUCUGGUGAAAAAAUUGCUGAAGAUUUGGCUUUUGUUGUUUGUGUUUCCAUAAUAACAGGAUCACUUGAAGAUUUCAGUUGCCUGGCCAUGUGGUCUUCGGAGUGGUAAAACUGUAUUCCGGCCUUGUCAGUCUCUGAAGUUUCAGCUUUUUUUCUUGCUAAGUGAAGAAGUAGCCAUCACUAAAGACCGGACUAGCUCAACCAUUACAAUUAAAAGCAAAGUUUUUUGGCACAGGAAUCAGACUGAGAGAACUCUGUGUACCUAACAGGAACAGCAAACAACCGAGUUUCUGAACAGUCAUUUGAGAGGACUGGAUGUUCAUUUUAAUUAAACAAAUGGACUUAUCUCCAUUUUAAGUGAAUGAAUUUCUCCUGCACUUUAGCUGCUCACUGCAGGAAUUUAAACAAAUGUGAUUUCUCCCUAUACCCAAGUAUAGAAAUGACACUGGCUGUUUUAUUUCUGCUGAGUCAUACCUGACUACAUGUUUGUAUGCUUCACGAUGUGAUUAUUAAAUUUUUAUCUUAACAGACAGAA